rnacentral:rRNA from 1 species
GACGAACGCUGGCGGCGUGCUUAACACAUGCAAGUCGAACGGAAAGGCCCUGCUUUUGUGGGGUGCUCGAGUGGCGAACGGGUGAGUAACACGUGAGUAACCUGCCCUUGUCUUUGGGAUAACUUCAGGAAACUGGGGCUAAUACCGGAUAGGAGCUCCUGCUGCAUGGGGGGGGUUGGAAAGUUUCGGCGGUUGGGGAUGGACUAGCGGCUUAUCAGCUUGUUGGUGGGGUAGUGGCUUACCCAGGCUUUGACGGGUAGCCGGCCUGAGAGGGUGACCGGCCACAAUAGUACUGAGAGACGGACCAGACGCCUACGGGAGGCAGAAGGGGGGAGUAUUGCACAGUGGGCGGAAGUGUGAGGCGGCAGCGCCGCGUGCGUGAUGACGGCCUUCUGGUUAAGAACCGCUUUCGCCUGUGACGAAGCGUGAGUGACGGUAAUGAGUAAAGAAGCACCGGCUAACUACGUG